rnacentral:rRNA from 1 species
UCAUUACCGAGUUCUCGGGCUUCGGCCCGAAUCUCCCACCCUUUGUGAACAUACCUCUGUUGCUUUGGCGGCUCUUGCCGCGUGGAGGCCCUCAAAAGCCCCCCCGCGCGCGCUUCCGCCAGAGGACCAUCAAACUCCAGUCAGUGAACGUCGACGUCUGAAAAAACAAGUUAAUAAACUAAAACUUUCAACAACGGAUCUCUUGGUUCUGGCAUCGAUGAAGAACGCAGCGAAAUGCGAUAAGUAAUGUGAAUUGCAGAAUUCAGUGAAUCAUCGAAUCUUUGAACGCACAUUGCGCCCCUUGGCAUUCCGAGGGGCAUGCCUGUUCGAGCGUCAUUACAACCCUCAAGCUCUGCUUGGUAUUGGGCGCCGUCCUCUCUGCGGACGCGCCUCAAAGACCUCGGCGGCGGCUGUUCAGCCCUCAAGCGUAGUAGAAUACACCUCGCUUUGGAGCGGUUGGCGUCGCCCGCCGGACGAACCUUCUGAACUUUUCUCAAGGUUGACCUCGGAUCAGGUAGGGAUACCCGCUGAACUUAAGCAUAU